CAAGGCACUAGGUUAAAAGGGUGCCAUAAACUGGUGCUUUAUUUAACGUAUUUUCGCAGAACAAGACAGUGACAGGGGCCGUGGUGGGUGCCUGCGUGUGCUGGUGCAAGCUUGGUGCCUGCCGGGAGGUGCCUGCAGUGCCACAAGGGAUAAUAUUGAUACAAAUGUAGAGGGACGAAAUAGAGAAGCAGGAAGACCACCACCACCACCACCACCAGCAGUGUGGAAGAAAGCUGGUGAUAAAACUCUCUCUCGCUCUCCCUCACUCUCCCACGCCACGGAAGCAGUGGAAUAAAGCACAGGAGGAGGAAGUGAGAGGAUAAUGAAGUUUGGAAGUUUGUGAUACAGCAAUGGCAACCCUCCGAUCCGGCAAGCAAGUUGGCGGCAGCGAUGGCGGUGGCGGCGGCAGUGGUGGUGAGGUGGACAGCAGGGACAGAGGGGCACUACAGGCUGCGGACAUCAAGGAGAAGAGGAACGCACGGACAAGCAAGGUGGUAUUCGGCAGUCUGAUCCUGGACCUGCUCGGCUUCACGGUGGUGCUGGCUCUGUUUCCUGCUCUCCUCGACUAUUAUUCCAAGCACGACUCCAGCGGCUUGUAUUCCUCUCUGCUCUCCUGUGUCACGUAUUACCAGCACAUCAUCGGCGUCCCUGCGAGGUUCCACUCUGUCUUGUUUGGUGAAAUUGAAUUGGGAUGACCUUGCUCAAAAGAAAGUACCUGCUCCCUUUGUACCAAGAAUCAGUACUGAGUUAGAUGUUAGUAAUUUUUCUGAAGAGUUCACUGCAAUGAUACCACAGGAUUCUCCAGCAAUCGUUCCUCCAGAUGUUGAGAAAAUGUUCAAUGGCUACUCCUACGUUGCUCCAUCAAUUCUCUUCACUGACAGUGUCAUCAGCGACAGCAGCAGCCUUUUCAAGAUGUCACCAGACAGAAGACCUUCCACAACCAACCUAUUAUUGGCUUGUAGCUUUAAGAUUGGAAAUGUUUCCUGAGGUUAGUCUUAAAACUGUUUAGAUUUUGAGACAGGGUGAUGGUGGAUGGGAGUUGGUUCCACAACUUAGGACCCAACACAGUGAGGUCCCUGGCACCGCUGUCUGUUCUGGUCCGGGGAACAUGCAAGUUGUUUCUUUGUCUAGUUUUACUGUUUGUCACAUCAUUUACAGUAUUAAAAGAUAAAAAGGAUAGAAAGCCAUCAGGAUAACAUCUUCGCAAAUGUCAAACAUAUGUUUCUCCUUAACCCUGACCCAUUUAAGUUCUUUAAGGAAAGGUGAUGCACGGUCAUAUUUCCUGCCACCUCCCACUGCUACUUUAGCUGCAAAGUUUUGAAGUUUUUGGGCCUUACACAGAAGAGUUUCGUUUGUUGAUCCCCACACUUGAAUGCAGUAAUAUAUUGUGCUUAAUGCAAGUGAUUGAGUAACAAGAAUUCGUGUGGGUUUAUCAAAACAUUUACUAAUUCGAUUUAUAUACAUUAAUAUGCCUGUCACCUUCUUCUGUAACUCAUUUAAAUGAACAUCAAACAACAUAUAUUUAUCAAAAUACACUCCUAAAUUCUUAACAUGAUAACUUGAAAGUAUGUUCUCUCCAUCAAAAUGUAUGGUAGUGUCAGGAGGAAUCUUAGCUAGGAGUUGGCGAUUGCCUAGGAAAAUACAUUGCGUUUUACUUGGAUUUAAAAGUAGGCCAUUACUCAGAAAAUAGCGUUUACAUUGUCUUAGAGUUGUUUCAGCAUCAUUAAUGAGUUGAUGGAUGUUGUUAAAUGUGCCUUCGUGUAAUAUUUGAGUAUCAUCCGCGUAUUGCACUAUGAAACCAUUAACGUGCUCUGACAGAUCAUUUACAUAAAUGCCGAACAAUAGCGGGCCAAGAAUUGAGCCUUGUGGGACUCCAUAGUUCACUUUCUGGUCUUUAGAUAUUGCCCCAUUCAAGCGGACAGACAUGGUUCUGUUGGUCAAAUAAUUAUCUAGACCUUUCCUUGUUGCUUGUUCAACUGCAUGAUGUCUUUAACACACACUUCUCUACCCCAUCCAAGUACUACCAUCCAAGUAGCUUUCCUCACCUAUCACUACUUUCAACUUCACUCACUCUUUCUUUUGGAGAUGUCAUUGAUAUUAAAUCGUUUUGACACAAAAUGAUUUAAGUAACAAUUAGUUUAAGAUCAUAUUAUUUUCUUUUCCUUGCAUUUAAUCAUUGUAUGCCUGUAUCUAAUUCAUGUUGGUUUCACAGGCACACACCUACAUUGUGAUGGAGCUCCUUGGAGGUGGAGAGCUGGCUGCUUCAGAGGAUCAGGAAACACGAGAGGUUCACAGAGGCUCGCCUCGGGCUUCGGUCGUCGUGAGGAACCUGGUGUCAGCAGUUCACUACGUGCACAGGAAAGGCAUCAGUGUUCACGGAGACCUAAAGCCAGACAGGGGUGAAGAGUUAGGAGAGGGAGAAGAAAUAUGUUGGGAAUUAAUGGAAUGGGAGGGAAUAAAAAUAGAAAAGUGGUUGGUGUUGAGGAUAGACAGAAAAGAAAAGAAAGGAAAGGUGAAAAAAAGGAAGUUUUUUUGCAUUGAUUUUCCAUCUGCUUAUUUUAAAGAAUUUAUUGCAUGGAAUAUUAUUGAUCUCCAUCAUUUGUAUGGCCUUUAUAAUAAAAAGUAUGAAUUUA